rnacentral:rRNA from 1 species
GUGGAUUAGAUACCCUGGUAGUCCACACUGUAAACGAUGAAUGCUAGGUGUGGGGACGUAAGUUUCCGUGCCGCAGUUAACACAAUAAGCAUUCCACCUGGGGAGUACGGCCGCAAGGUUGAAACUCAAAGGAAUUGACGGGAGCCCGCACAAGCAGUGGAGUAUGUGGUUUAAUUCGACGCAACGCGAAGAACCUUACCAGGACUUGACAUCCCUUGACUACCUCGUAAUGGAGGGUCUCGAUCUUCGGAUUGACAAGGAGACAGGUGGUGCACGGUUGUCGACAGCU